rnacentral:misc_RNA from 1 species
CACAAUGCGGUAUUGGUAAAGUUAAUACGAGAGAAAAAACUAUAAUAAAGCAAAUAAAAUAUUCAGGUGCACUCCUUCCUCUUGACCGAACAUGGCGGAGAGUCAGAAUUUUGAUGAACAGAUGUUAAUCGAAGACGAUGGGCUUCGCUGUGCCGUGAAAAUAGAACCUCAAGCAAGGAAGAUCUCACAGAGAACCAUCUUGUUAAUAGCGUGCUUGAGUGCAUUGUGUGAUUGUCUUCUGUUGUCUGUUAUAGUACCAAUUAUACCAGUAUAUUUGGAUGUAUCUGAGACACCAACAACUAGACCACCGACUGCUGAAAGCUCAACAAGCAACAAAACAUUUGCAACUGUUUCUUCGCCAACAGUGAUAGAUUCAUCCAUGGAUCUCAAAAUUGGGGCUUUAUUUGCAUCCAAAGCCUUUGUUCAGAUUAUGGUGAAUCCAGUAGCAGGGCAUCUAACAGAGAGAGUGGGUUACAGCAUCCCAUUAUACAGUGGUUUUUGUGUCUUAUUUAUAUCAACUCUUGUUUAUGGCUGUGGUUCAGGUUAUUGGCUUCUCUUUGUAGCAAGAGCUAUUCAGGGACUAGGAUCAUCUUUUGUUCUUAUUUCUUGUUUAGCAAUGCUUGCCGCUGCCCACCCUGAUGAUAAUGAGCGAGGGACAGCAAUAGGAAUAGCAAUGGGAGUGACAGGGCUUGGAGUCCUAGCUGGGCCCCCAUUUGGAGGAUUGUUUUACAGUAUUGGAGGAAAGGGCCUUCCAUUCUUCAUACUUGCUGGUUUAAUUUUUUUAACAUUUGUGUUGGUGGUUUUUGCCCAGAAGCCAGUUAUGCCAAAAUAUACAGAAAAACCCACCCUCAAGGACUUGCUGUCAGAUCCUUACAUUCUAAUUGCCAGUGGUGCUGUCUGUUUCUGCAACAUGGCAUUUGCUCUUCUGGAACCAACAUUACCCAUAUGGCUGUUAGAGACUAUGGAUGCUAAGGAAUGGCAGAUAGGUGUGAUCUUCCUACCUUCAACUGGGGCAUACCUCAUAGCCACACCACUGUUAGGAAAAUUGGGCAAUGUGAUAGGCAGGUGGCUUGCAUCUCUGAUUGGUCUUGUGUUAGUAGCUGUUAGUUUAUUUGUGGUUCCGGUUGCGAGGACCCUAGCUGCCCUUGUCGCCCCGCUGUUUGCCCUUGGCUUUUGUAUCGGAAUGGUGGAUACUUCCAUGGCUGCCACCUUGGCCUACCUAGUAGACAUUAGACACGCCUCUGUAUACGGCGCUGUAUUUGCUAUUGAAGAUUUUGCAGCCUCAGUCGGUUUCGCUUUUGGACCACUCCUUGGAGGGGUAAUUGUAUCUGAAGGAAGUUUUCCAUGGUAUGGAAUUAUGUCAGUUUUGCUGACGAAAUUCUGCUGUAUUGUGUGAUCUUCGGCCCGGGUUGGGAUGUAGAAAGUCCCGAUAAGCACUGUUACUGGUGACUGGGACUGAGAGUUCAACGCCCCGAGCAGAAGUUAUCAUCAAAGCUUCUGCAUGGAUUAGCGAUUCUGAAUCUUCUUUUUGCCCCUCUCCUUGUGUUUCUGAGAAACCCACCGUCCAAACAUCAAUUAUU